rnacentral:rRNA from 1 species
CCCGGCGACCGGCGCACGGGUGAGUAACACGUAUGCAACCUGGCCGUGACAGAUGGAUAACCGGGAGAAAUCCCGCCUAAUACAACAUAAUGCCGGGAGGGGACAUCCCCUGCCGGCCAAAGGGGGCGACCCCGGUCACGGAUGGGCAUGCGGCGCAUUAGGUAGUUGGUGGGGCAACGGCCCACCAAGCCGACGAUGCGUAGGGGUUCUGAGAGGAAGGCCCCCCACACUGGUACUGAGACACGGACCAGACUCCUACGGGAGGCAGCAG